rnacentral:rRNA from 1 species
AUGGACCACGAGAUUCCAUACAAUAGGUCCUAUGCGUGGGACUCGGAGGAUGAAGGCCCGGAUGAAGAAAUAGAUGAGGAUGGUUUGACGGCCAAAGAAGCCAAUGCUUUCAAGAAGGUAAUAGGCCGUAGUCACAAGACAUCAUUGUUUCGUGAUCUAAGCCUAGCCGAUAAGGCGAUUGUUGUUGGUGGCACAAGUAAAAUUCUUGCACCAAGG